UUAAUAGCGGUGUUUGUGCACGAGGAAUUUUGAUUUCCUACGAGGGGGCCUAUAAACCCCCCUACUAAA
rnacentral:tRNA from 1 species